UCCUCUUCUUCCCCUACAAACAAAACAGUAACACACCUUCCCCUACUAAGUCAUUCUUCAAUUAUAAAACACCAUGGCUUUGAAGCUGCUAAGCAAACUCCGAAAUCAGAAUCUUCAAAUCACUCGAAACCGAAACCACCACCGGCUCCUCGAUGCCGCCAGAUUCUUCUCUGAAAAGCCAGUUUCGAAUCUUUGGACACCAGAUGAUAGCAAAUUUAUUAUUAAGAGCAAACAGCAAACCACCACAUCAUCUUUGAAACAGCACGAGCUUGCUAAAUUCGCAGCCAUUUCUGAUACCUGGUGGGAUUCAGAAGGUCCAUUUAAACCAUUGCAUAACAUGAACCCUACAAGACUCGCUUUUAUUCGCUCCACACUUUGUAGACAUUUCAGUAAGGAUCCGAACUGCGCUAGGCCUUUUGAAGGACUUAAAAUUGUUGAUGUUGGUUGUGGUGGUGGAAUUCUUUCGGAGCCUUUAGCUAGGAUGGGAGCAACUGUAACAGGAGUUGAUGCGGUGGAGAAAAAUAUCAAUGUUGCACGCCUUCAUGCUGAUUUGGAUCCAGAGACUUCAACCAUUGAAUACAGUUGCACAACAGCUGAAAAACUAGUCGAGGAGCAGAGGAAGUUUGAUGCUGUGAUUGCACUGGAGGUAAUUGAGCAUGUGGCAGCUCCUGCUGAAUUCUGCAAGUCGCUGGCAGCACUGGCUUAUCCUGGUGGAGCCACUGUAAUAUCAACAAUUAAUCGUUCUAUGAGAGCGUAUGCGACUGCCAUUGUUGCAGCAGAGUACCUUCUCAAUUGGCUUCCUAAAGGCACGCAUCAGUGGUCAAGCUUUCUUACUCCUGAAGAACUGGUGCUUAUCCUACAGCGUGCUUCUAUCAAUGUUAAAGAAAUGGCUGGAUUCGCUUACAGCCCCUUGACUGGGCGAUGGUCUCUAUCUGAUGAUAUUUCUGUGAACUUCAUAGCCUAUGGUACCAAAGAUGGUCAAUGAUGAGAACUGCAUACAAAGACAGGCAUGCUGAUUAAAAGUUUUGCUCUUAGACCACGGUCGCGUGAUAAGAGUGUGUGAACAGGGCCUCAGCCAAACCAAGAGUCAACAUGGGUGAAAUAAAUUACAACCAAACAUAUUCAAAGUUGUCAAAUCACAUGCUGGAGACAUAGCGGCCUAUUGAGCACAAGACGAGAAGGUAACUUUCCUUUAACUUUCGGCAAUGACCAAACACCUCAAAUCAAUUUAGCUGGUCACCGUGAUCAAGUUGCCAAAAAUUCUCCAAGGAGUAAAAAAUUGCCAAAAUCAAGCCGUUAAAAUCGUGCCUUCUAUUGGAGGUCGUUUCAUUAUCGGCUGAUGAUGCUAGGAGUGUUGCAGACUAUGGGACAACCUCCUAGGAGGAGGACAGUGGAAUUCGCGACCGCAAGGUGGAACUACCUAUGCUGCACUUGCUAGAAGAUUGUCCGAGCGAAGCCGAGGCGGCAAAUAAGUUAACAGCUUCACCACGAUGGCCGUUCCCCGAUCACUGGCUCAAUGGCUUACUUUCAACAGGGCUAUUUGACCAUGUUUGGAUUCAAUUUUAUAUGCGAGUAUAUUCAAGCAAUCCUCACAAUUUUUAGAAA